rnacentral:tRNA from 1 species
GGCCCGGUGGCAGAGUGGCUAUGCAGCGGACUGCAAAUCCGCCUACGUCGGUUCAAUUCCGGCCCGGGCCU